rnacentral:misc_RNA from 1 species
GAAAUGCGAUAAGUAAUGUGAAUUGCAGAAUUCCGUGAAUCAUCGAAUCUUUGAACGCACAUUGCGCCCUUUGGUAUUCCAAAGGGCAUGCCUGUUCGAGCGUCAUUUGUACCCUCAAGCUUUGCUUGGUGUUGGGCGUCUUGUCUCUAGCUUUGCUGGAGACUCGCCUUAAAGUAAUUGGCAGCCGGCCUACUGGUUUCGGAGCGCAGCACAAGUCGCACUCUCUAUCAGCAAAGGUCUAGCAUCCAUUAAGCCUUUUUUUCAACUUUUGACCUCGGAUCAGGUAGGGAUACCCGCUGAACUUAAGC